GGCGAAGUACGGGGAGCGGGCCGCGUAAUUAGUGGGGGGGGAGGCGGUAUCUGGAAUGACUGGGGGUAAAGGGUGGGUAGGCGGCUAAGAAAGCAGGGGUUGAAAGGCAUUGGCUCAACUAAGGUAAGCCUUUGGAACUGCUAGGCUUGAGUGCAGGAGAGGUAAGUGGAAUUCCUAGUGUAGAGGUGAAAUUCGUAGAUAUUAGGAGGAACACCAGUGGCGAAGGCGACUUACUGGACUGUAACUGACGCUGAGGCACGAAAGCGUGGGGAGCGAACAGGAUUAGAUACCCGUGUAGUC
rnacentral:rRNA from 1 species